rnacentral:rRNA from 1 species
CGGGCCACGCUGCGGACUAAAUNCAGUCGAGCGAUGAAGAAUAACAGACACCUUCGGGAAGAAGUUAAGUCGGAUUAGCGGCGGACGGGUGAGUAACACGUGAGUAACCUGCCUUUGACACGGGGAUAGCCACCGGAAACGGUGAUUAAUACCCGAUGAAAUCGUAAUGACACAUGUCAUAACGAUCAAAGUGAAUUAGCGGUCAAAGAUGGACUCGCGUCUGAUUAAUUAGUUGGUGAGGUAACGGCUCACCAAGAUAGCGAUCAGUAGCCGGCCUGAGAGGGUGAACGGCCACAUUGGAACUGAGAAACGGUCCAAACUCCUACGGGAGGCAGCAGUGGGGAAUAUUGCACAAUGGGGGAAACCCUGAUGCAGCGACGCCGCGUGAGCGAAGAAGGAUUUCGAUUCGUAAAGCUCUGUCCUAUGGGAAGAUAAUGACGGUACCAUAGGAGGAAGCCCCGGCUAACUACGUGCCAGCAGCCGCGGUAAUACGUAGGGGGCGAGCGUUGUCCGGAAUCACUGGGCGUAAAGGGUUCGCAGGCGGUUUAGAAAGUCAGAUGUGAAAGGCGAGGGCUCAACCCUCGUAAGCAUUUGAAACUUCUAAACUUGAGUAGUGAAGAGGUAAGUGGAAUUCCUAGUGUAGCGGUGAAAUGCGUAGAUAUUAGGAGGAAUACCGGUGGCGAAGGCGACUUACUGGUCACAAACUGACGCUGAGGAACGAAAGCGUGGGUAGCAAACAGGAUUAGAUACCCUGGUAGUCCACGCCGUAAACGAUGAGUGCUAGGUGUCGGAGUAAUUCGGUGCCGCAGUUAACACAAUAAGCACUCCGCCUGGGGAGUACGUGCGCAAGCAUGAAACUCAAAGGAAUUGACGGGGACCCGCACAAGCAGCGGAGCAUGUGGUUUAAUUCGAAAGCACGCGAAGAACCUUUACAGGGCUUUGACAUAUAUUGACCCCUCUAGAGAUAGAGGCUUCCCUUCGGGGACAGUAUUACAGGUGGUGCAUGGNUGUCGUCAGCUCGUGUCNUGAGAUGUUGGGUUAAGUCCGGCACGAGCGCAACCCUUUACUUUANUUGCAGCAUGUAAGAUGGGAACUCUAAAGNACUGCCGAUGAUAAUUCGGAGAAGUGGGGAGACGUCAAUCAUCAUGCCU